rnacentral:misc_RNA from 1 species
GAUGAAGAACCAGCGAAAUGCGAUAAGUAAUGUGAAUUGCAGAAUUCCGUGAAUCAUCGAAUCUUUGAACGCACAUUGCGCCCUCUGGUAUUCCGGGGGGCAUGCCUGUCCGAGCGUCAUUUGCAACCCUCAAGCCCGGCUUGUGUGAUGGGUGCCGUCCCCUACGGGACGCGCCCCGAAGGCAAUGGCGGCGUCGCGGUUAUCCGAUCAGCCAAAGUGUAUGGGGCUUUGUCACUCACUUUACGGCCCGGACCGGCGCCAGUCCGAAUCAAUCUUUUUUCUAAAGUUGACCUCGGAUCAGGUAGGGAUACCCGCUGAACUUAAGCAUAUCAAUAAGCGGAGGA